CACACUGAGACCAGAUGGUACCUCUUAUUCAAGAUGGACCUCAAGGAACCGAAGCUGCUCCCAGGCAAAGUGCAAGUUUCAACCCAAGCAGCCUGUGCAGAGCUGGCCCUGUGAUCCCAGCUUCCUUUGACUUCACAUCAUUCUUACAGCACUUUGAUCAUCUCUGUCAUGUUUCUUCAUUUUGGACAUGGGUGGGGGGAGCCCCAUCUCUAUCCUGCAAGAACUCUGCGUCUUCAACAGACCCAAAAAUGGCUUGAAGGAGUUGGGCUGUGUGGGCCAGGAGAGUAGGCAAGGCCCACUGUGCCUCAGGCACAUUUCAAAUUGGAG
rnacentral:lncRNA from 1 species